rnacentral:rRNA from 1 species
UGGAGCGAUUUGUCUGCUUAAUUGCGAUAACGAACGAGACUCUAGCCUGCUAACUAGUCGUUUCCGGCUUCCUUUGUUGCAGCCGGCGAAGACAAAUCUUCUUAGAGGGACAGGCGGCUUCUAGCCGCACGAGAUUGAGCAAUAACAGGUCUGUGAUGCCCUUAGAUGUCCGGGGCCGCACGCGUGCUACACUGAAGUGGUCAUCGUGCAUACUGUUUCCUGCUCCGAAAGGAGUGGGUAACCGCUUGAACCCAUUUCGUGAUGGGGAUUGGGCAUUGUAAUUAUUGCCCAUGAACGAGGAAUUCCCAGUAAGCGCGAGUCAUAAGCUCGCGUUGAUUACGUCCCUGCCCUUUGUACACACCGCCC